CACAUGAUCCAUCAUAAAUAAUUAUUCAUAAAUCGAACUACUUAGUGCCUUUUCGCAUAAUCAAAAAAAUCGAUUUUAAUUUGUAUUUUUGCAUGCUGCAAAUUAAUUGGUUUUUGGCUUCCAUGUGAAUUGUUGGAUCCACUUGCACAAUACCCCUUGCAAUUUGAAAUUCUUGUCCAUUGAUGCACUGCCCUACUACACACCUUUAAAUCUCAGACCCUAAUUUUUUAUGUUUUUUUUCAUUACAACAUAUAUAUCCAAUGUUCUCAAGGCAAAAAUUCUCCCACUUGUUCAUGAUUUUUAGCUCUAUUUUUAACCAUUUUAUGCUAAUAAUUUCUGCCUUUUUUCAGUGUUUAUGAUGCAGCAAAAUCAAUUUAUUGGACCUGUGAUCGUUAAUGGAAGAAGCAGGGACAUGCCAAAUUACGAGAUUAAGAAAGUUUGAUGAUGUGCGAGCCCAGUUCAUCCUAGCCGUUUAAGCUUCCGACUUCACAGCUGCGGACGCUCUUAGUAUCACAGCUCAGCAUUAGAGCAGUGGACCAAUCUGCACCGAAUUAUGGAACCAUCGCCUUCCCACCUCUCUCUCCUUCGCUCACCUGGUUGGCAAGGUUGGGUUUAUUGAUUUAAAAAAAAUAUGCAACUCAUUGGAAUAUUAUAAAAUAAAAUUUUAACUUCUUUAAAUGCAUUUUAAUUAAAUACUAAUAUUAAAUCACGACUCAACAAGUUUUGUUUUUUUUUUCUUUAAUUAAAUCGAAUAUGAAACA